rnacentral:misc_RNA from 1 species
GAUGAAGACGUAGCGAAAUGCGAUAAGUAAUGUGAAUUGCAGAAUUCAGUGAAUCAUCGAAUCUUUGAACGCACAUUGCGCCCUCUGGUAUUCCGGGGGGCAUGCCUGUUCGAGCGUCAUUAUAACCACUCAAGCUCUCGCUUGGUAUUGGGGUUCGCGGUUCCGCGGCCCCUAAAAUCAGUGGCGGUGCCUGUCGGCUCUACGCGUAGUAAUACUCCUCGCGAUUGAGUCCGGUAGGUCUACUUGCCAGCAACCCCCAAUUUUUACAGGUUGACCUCGGAUCAGGUAGGGAUACCCGCUGAACUUAAGCAUAUCAAUAAGCGGAGGA